CCCAUGGCUUCUUGUAGCAAUGGCUCCAAUUUCUGGAAAGCCAUGAUAAGCGAAUGUGGGCUUUGGCACGGAAUUAAAUGCUAAGCAAACAUUGGAAGCAAUCCACUAAGCACAGAAGCUGCCCAUCUGUAUCCAUUUCCAUGGGGGUCUAUGCAGGGCAAUGAUGUCUGAGCACCAGCGGUGCCCUGUGGAUUGCAUCAACGGCCUGGACUCAUUAAGAGCGAUGUUGCUUAAUGGCAGCGGUGGCAGAAACUGCCUUCCAGAUGACUUGAGUCUUUGUAGCCAGCACCCCCAUUCCCAAGAACACCUCAGAACAACAUCCAGAGCAUCCUAGAAAGAACAAAAUGGCAGCCACCGGGAGUGCCCAGUGUCAAAAGUUA